AUAUGGGUAACUUUGAUUAACAUGAAAAUAUCACUCUCCAGAUAUCCAGAAAGGAGAACAGAUUGAGGUCAUAGGAGACAGCAGGCACAAGGAGUAGUUAAAAGCCUUCAGCAGUAGUUCAGCAAAAGAGAUAAUCCAUAUGGAAUCAAUGUCAUUUCAGUGGGAACGGAGAACAGAGGGCAGAUACAACACGGGCACAAAUCAAGUAGGGAGGAAUUAAAAGUAAGAGAGAAACAUGUAAUAACUGCAACAUUUUUGUCUUUUAUAACUGCAUCUAUGGCAGUGAGGUUCUUAGAGGAAAUGUAGAAGGAAAAACAAAUUAAGCAGAAAGAUAACGAGAUCAGUUUUGGAUGUCAUGGAUAUGAGAUGCUGACUUCUAGAGCCCAGAAGAGAGAUUAUAGGUAUGGAUCUAAUUUGCCAAGAAGCAGAAUGUCAGUGGUAAGUAACGAAAGCCAACAGUGACAGAGUAAAGACUAGUCAGGAUAGAGCCUGCAGAGUGAUCAGAUAAGAGAGUCAACAGCUCACCUCCGGACAAUGCCAACGUUCAAGAGCAAAGACAAGACACUGCAAAAGAGAAUGAAAAGAGACAGAGAGAGAUGCAGGUGCCAAAACACAGUGGUACCUCGGAGUCCAGGGGAAAGAAGAGUGUCAACACGAGAGGAGUCUGCAACGUCCGUGUGAAAGAGAAACAAGUGGUCCAGGAGCACCCAAGAAGGCCGCAGAGUUAGCUGAGAGAAAACCAGACUCAGAGAGGCCUCUCAGCAAGAUGGUGACCCUGACGUGAUAUCAGACUCGGCAAACACAUAAAUGGAACUAAGGAAAUUUUGGGGGACUUUUCAGCCUAUCAGGCGUGCCGAGGAAUUCUCAUGGAGCAACAGCUUACUAAGCAGCAGCAUGAUAUCAGCGCGGCGACUACAUGUAAGUAAAGGAACAAAUUUAU